AUUCCUGGCAUGAGUUUCAAGCCACCAGGUCUGGGACUCGAACCAAGUUCAGCCAUGUGGGAGUCCAGCACCUUAACCACUGUGCCACCUGCUGGCCCCCAGGGAUGUUUUUAAUCAGCUCUCCAAAUCUUCACACUUCUGUUUUCAAAUUUAAGACAUUGAAAUGGGCAAGCUAGAAUAGUGAUUUAUUUGGUUUGUUUUUCAGGGUAGAAUGAAAACCUAUAUCCAUACCUAACUGGCCUCCUCUUCCAAAUCUUUUAUAUCAGACACUGCCUCGAGUGUGUACUUGGCUUUCAUUAGAAUGUUGGUUUUAGGAAAAGAGAGAGUUAUGAACAGACUAAUUAUAAAGUCAGAGUUCUUAGUACUGUUGCUAAUGUGGGGCAGUGUAUAAGGCAGCCUAGCUUCCACAUCAGAAAUGAGUAUUAGCAAUUCCUGCUUAAGGCUGCUAAAUGUUAUCUUGAAGUUCUCAGGCUGGAUGUCAGUCUCAAACCCACUUUGUAGGAAGCUGUAUAUUCAGUCUAAGGGUUGGGCUUUCCAGCCUGGGAGUCCGUACAGUGGACUAUUGUUUCUUGACAGUGUACAGUUACAGUCUGUGGAUGGAUGUAGUGUACUCUUGGUACAGUGAGUGUCUUGAUAACCCAAGGGGCUAGAAAGCCAGUCUUCCCUAUGCAGACAGUUGCAUGAGACAAUAGUAUACCCAGAUCUGGA